rnacentral:rRNA from 1 species
UACAGAGGGUGCGAGCGUUGUUCGGAAUUACUGGGCGUAAAGCGCGCGCAGGCGGCCUUUUAAGUCUGACGGUGAAAUGCCGGGGCUCAACCCCGUGCCCGCCGGAGAUACUGGGAGGCUGGAGACGAGUAGAGGCAAGCGGAAUUCCGGGUGUAGCGGUGGAAUGCGUAGAGAUCCGGAAGAACACCGGAGGCGAAGGCGGCUUGCUGGGCUCGGUCUGACGCUGAGGCGCGAAAGCGUGGGGAGCGAACAGG